CCUUAGCGGCGGACGGGUGAGUAACACGUGGGGUAAACCUGCCUCAAAAGUCGGGGGAUAGCCUUUCGAAAGGAAGAGUUAAUACCGCAUAAGCCUCCGGUGCCGCAUGGCGCUGAAGGAAAAGGAGCAAUUCGCUUUGAGAUGGAACCCGCGGCGCAUUAGCUAGUUGGUGAGGUAAACGGCUCACCAAGGCCACGAUGCGUAGCCGACCUGAGAGGGUGAUCGGCCACAUUGGAACUGAGACACGGUCCAGACUCCUACGGGAGGCAGCAGUGGGGAAUAUUGCACAAUGGGCGAAAGCCUGAUGCAGCAACGCCGCGUGAGUGAUGAAGGCCUUCGGGUCGUAAAGCUCUUUGAUCAGGGAUGAUAAUGACAGUACCUGAAAAACAAGCCACGGCUAACUACGUGCCAGCAGCCGCGGUAAUACGUAGGUGGCGAGCGUUGUCCGGAAUUACUGGGCGUAAAGGAUGCGUAGGUGGAUAUUUAAGUGGGAUGUGAAAUCCCCGGGCUCAACCCGGGAACUGCAUUCCAAACUGGGUAUCUAGAGUGCAGGAGAGGAAAGCGGAAUUCCUAGUGUAGCGGUGAAAUGCGUAGAUAUUAGGAGGAACACCAGUGGCGA
rnacentral:rRNA from 1 species